AACGUAGGAGGCGAGCGUUAUCCGGAGUUACUGGGCGUAAAGCGCAUGUAGGCGGUUGAGCAAGUUGCGUGUGAAAGCUCCCGGCUAAACUGGGAGAGGACACGUAAGACUGCUGAACUGGAGGAUGGUAGAGGGGCGUGGAAUUCCGGGUGUAGCGGUGAAAUGUGUAGAGAUCCGGAGGAACACCAGUGGCGCAAGCGACGCCCUGGGCCAUACCUGACGCUGAGAUGCGAAAGCCAAGGUAGCAAACAGG
rnacentral:rRNA from 1 species